UAAUACGGAGGUGGCAAGCGUUACUCGGAAUUAUUGGGUGUAAAGGGCAAGUAGGCGGCCUGAUAAGUGAGGGGUGAAAUCUUCCGACUCAAUCGGAAAAUUGCCUUUCAAACUAUCAGACUUGAGGCAGGAAGAGGGAAAUGGAAUUCUCGGUGUAAGGGUGAAAUCUGUAGAUAUCGAGAAGAACACCAGCGGCGAAGGCGAUUUCCUGGUCCUGUUCUGACGCUGAAUUGCGAAAGCUAGGGGAGCAAACAGAAUUAGAUACUCUGGUAGUCCUAGCCGUAAACGAUGAGCACUAGGUGUUGGAGCGUGAGCUUCAGUGCCGCAGCUAACGCAUUAAGUGCUCCACCUGGGGACUACGGUCGCAAGGCUA
rnacentral:rRNA from 1 species